AACGAACGCUGGCGGCGUGCCUAACACAUGCAAGUCGAACGUGAUUAGAGAGCUUGCUCUCUAUGAAAGUGGCGCACGGGUGAGUAACGCGUAGAUAAUCUACCUGAUGAUCCGGGAUAACACUUCGAAAGGGGUGCUAGUACCGGAUAAGCCCACGGGGUCCUAGGACUCUGCGGGAAAAGGGGGGGACCUUUUAGGCCUUCUGUCAUCAGAUGAGUCUGCGUACCAUUAGCUAGUUGGUAGGGUAAAGGCCUACCAAGGCGACGAUGGUUAGCUGGUCUGAGAGGAUGAUCAGCCACACUGGAACUGAGACACGGUCCAGACUCCUACGGGAGGCAGCAGUGGGGAAUUUUGCGCAAUGGGGGAAACCCUGACGCAGCAACGCCGCGUGAGUGAUGAAGGCCCUUGGGUCGUAAAGCUCAGACAGAGGGAAAGAAAUGCAGGGUGGCUAAUAUCCAUCUUGCUUGACGGUACCCUCAAAGGAAGCACCGGCUAACUCCGUGCCAGCCGCCGCGGUAAUAC
rnacentral:rRNA from 1 species